GUGCCAGCCGCCGCGGUAAUACGGAGAGGGCUAGCGUUAUUCGGAAUUAUUGGGCGUAAAGGGCGCGUAGGCUGGUUAAUAAGUUAAAAGUGAAAUCCCGAGGCUUAACCUUGGAAUUGCUUUUAAAACUAUUAAUCUAGAGAUUGAAAGAGGAUAGAGGAAUUCCUGAUGUAGAGGUAAAAUUCGUAAAUAUUAGGAGGAACACCAGUGGCGAAGGCGUCUAUCUGGUUCAAAUCUGACGCUGAAGCGCGAAGGCGUGGGGAGCAAACAGGAUUAGAUACCCUGGUAGUCCACGCUGUAAACGAUGAAUGUUAAAUAUGGGGAGUUUACUUUCUGUAUUACAGCUAACGCGUUAAACAUUCCGCCUGGGGACUACGGUCGCAAGAUUAAAACUUAAAGGAAUUGACGG
rnacentral:rRNA from 1 species